GACGAACCGUGCGAACGUUGUUCGGAAUCACUGGGCUUAAAGGGCGCGUAGGCGGGCCGCCAAGUCCGCGGUGAAAUCCCCCGGCUCAACCGGGGAACUGCCGCGGAUACUGGAGGUCUCGAGGGGGGUAGGGGCAUGCGGAACUGCGGGUGGAGCGGUGAAAUGCGUUGAUAUCCGCAGGAACUCCGGUGGCGAAGGCGGCCGAGCUGGGCAGUUACUGACACUGAGGCGCGACAGCGUGGGGAGCAAACAGG
rnacentral:rRNA from 1 species